GACGAACCGUGCGAACGUUGUUCGGAAUUACUGGGCGUAAAGCGCGCGUAGGCGGCUUUGUAAGUCAGAGGUGAAAUCCCGGAGCUCAACUCCGGAACUGCCUUUGAGACUGCAUCGCUUGAAUCCGGGAGAGGUGAGUGGAAUUCCGAGUGUAGAGGUGAAAUUCGUAGAUAUUCGGAAGAACACCAGUGGCGAAGGCGGCUCACUGGACCGGUAUUGACGCUGAUGUGCGAAAGCGUGGGGAGCAAACAGG
rnacentral:rRNA from 1 species